CUGGCCAAUACUGUGAAACCCCAUCUCUACUAAAAAUACAAAAAAAAUUUAGCUGGGCAUGGUAGCAUGCAUCUGUGGUCCCAGCUACCUGGGAGGCUGAGGCAAGAGAAUUCCUUGAACCCGGGAAGCUGAGAUUACACCACUGCACUCCAGCCUGGGUGACAGAGCGAGAGUCCGUCUCAAAACAAAAACAAAAAACAAAAGGAUACCCCAUAGCCCAGGCAUUCCAAAAAUUCCUACGUUCAACCACAUAAAAAUGUAAAACACGCUGUAUCAGAAUGUAAAUGUGCAUAUUCUACAACACAGUAAUUCAAUUCCUGAAAAUCAUCUCAAAGAAAUCAACAAAUACACAGAGACAGAAGGAUGUUCAUGGAAACAUGGCUCAGAAUCAGAAAGCUUUGGACACAGUCUCAACAGGGGAUUAGUAAAUGUAAUAGCCUACUUACUGGUAUCCUCAC
rnacentral:lncRNA from 10 species